rnacentral:rRNA from 1 species
UACAGAGACUGCAAGCGUUAUUCGGAUUCACUGGGCGUAAAGGGCGCGUAGGCGGUGCACUAAGUCAGGCGUGAAAGCCCUGGGCUCAACCCGGGAAUUGCGUUUGAUACUGGUGCGCUUGAAUCCAGGAGAGGUUGGUGGAAUUCCCAGUGUAGAGGUGAAAUUCGUAGAGAUUGGGAAGAACACCGGUGGCGAAGGCGGCCAACUGGACGAAGACUGACGCUGAGACACGAAAGCGUGGGGAGCAAACAGG